rnacentral:rRNA from 1 species
GACGAACGCUGGCGGCGUGCUUAACACAUGCAAGUCGAACGGAAAGGCCCUGCUUUUGUGGGGUGCUCGAGUGGCGAACGGGUGAGUAACACGUGAGUAACCUGCCCUUGACUUUGGGAUAACUUCAGGAAACUGGGGCUAAUACCGGAUAGGAGCUCCUGCUGCAUGGUGGGGGUGGGAAAGUUUCGGCGGUUGGGGAUGGACUCGCGGCUUAUCAGCUUGUUGGUGGGGUAGUGGCUUACCAAGGCUUUGACGGGUAGCCGGCCUGAGAGGGUGACCGGCCACAUUGGGACUGAGAUACGGCCCAGACUGCUACGGGAGGCAGCAGUGGGGAAUAUUGCACAAUGGGCGGAAGCCUGAUGCAGCAACGCCGCGUGCGGGAUGACGGCCUUCGGGUUGUAAACCGCUUUCGCCUGUGACGAAGCGUGAGUGACGGUAAUGGGUAAAGAAGCACCGGCUAACUACGUG